UAGCUGUAGAAGAGAAGGAUUUCCCAAAAGUAAAAGUUAAAACCUGUUCACUUUGAAGUUAGAGUCUUGAUGUUGUUGGUAUAAAACAGAGCGAACAGAAGCCUGUUUCUUGGUCUUACAAGUACUGAAAAUAACUGCAGUGCUCUGGCCACACAUAUUUUACAUCUGUUCAGAUUAUUAAAAUGAGAUACCACAAAUCCUGUUUGUUAAAUGCUUGGAUUCAUUUUUAUUUUGGAGGUAAUUUUUGAAAAUGCCUUUUUUUGGCACUUCCGUCACAUACUCUUGAAACUUAGUUUUCCAUUGCUUUCCUUUUCUAGAGUCAAAGAUUUUCUUCCUGGCAUGGAUAUUUUUGUAUUUGCAAGACGUUAGUGCUGUUUUUAAAGCCAGUUGAGAUAUUUGAGGGUGUUCUUCAGUUGUCCUAGAAACAGUCAUGCCUUUUUUGCCUUCAUUCAGUUUUCCACUUUGCAUCUGUAGCCUGGUAAAAUUGCGACACUUCGCACCUCUGGUGUAAAUUAAUCUCUGGCAGUUCAAUUCCACAGCCUUCCUUGACACAAGUCUGCAUGGCACAGAUACUGAGAAUUUGGGUCAUCUGGCUUUCUUCUUUUGCAGUGAAGCUCUUCCUUAAGUAACUUUGGAAAUGCUGAACAACGUAAGACAUUGUGAUAUAUGGAGAGUUCUUUGAAACUUUACUGACUGCAGUUUGUGCUUCAGAUUAUGCGCACAGGCCAUGGGCCUAUCUGUGUCACGUCUGAGAUGUAGAAGAUGGGCUUCAAGUGGCAAGAAGCUGGAUCAUCUUUCUUCAUCUCCUUGAUGCCUUCUCAGGAUUUGAAAGUGUGAUGAAGUAUUUCAUCCCUUUACAGGGUUAGGAGGUCUGCAACAGGGCUCAAGAACUGGAAAUCUUACAUCCUUUCCCUCCUGUCAUCUGCUUCCACACAACUGCAGAGCCUGCGCUGCGCUCUCAGCAAAAUCACCCUGAAACGCCCUGUGGUGGAGGUUUGUACUAAGCUGAUACAGAACGGACAUUGCUCUUGGUGGCAGUAUCCCUUGUUGCCAUGUUGUUCAUAGAGAAGAUGAGUUUAUACUCGCCUUUGUUCCACUGAGACGAGUGUUUGGUGUGUUCUACAUACCAAAAGUGGCAAAUCUUCUGUAUCUUCUUUCAAUUUUCAAUUGAAAGUCUACAUGACAUGAACUUCUUGGGUUUUGGUGUGGUUUUUUUUUAGAGAGGUAAAGCUUUUUUGGUUAAAAAAAUGCAACUGUUGAACCCCAGUUGGAGAAACAGCUGCAAUAUGUAUGUGCAUGAUACAGUGCAUGGGAUACAAAGCAUUCCCAUUCCUUCUGAUCUUGCAUAUCCACUCCCUGUACCUAUUGAAUGUGAUAGCCUUUAGGCAUGAGUGUAGACUCAGAGAUGGGAAGGGCUAGCUUGCCAUGCAAACAUUUAUCUGAUGGCCCCAUCCUAUUUUCUAGAACCAAAGACUUAAUUGUGAUAAAAUGGACAUCUUAAAGCAUUGUAGGAGGUAGGGGGAUAAAACUGCACUUAAUCUGAGUUUAGUUAGGCAUGUUUCAUACCUUGGAGUUUGACAGUAAAUAACACAGUAUAUGAUCAAUGGAAAUAUGAUCUUAAUCUGUAACUAUAAAAAAGA